CUCAUAAGUGAGAGUGACGGGCAAUUUGUACAUUUUUUAAAUACUUUAUUCAUAUUACAAAAAUUUUAGCAAAAUUACUUUUAAAUCCUUCUAAACCUUACUUUACAUUUAAAAUUUCGUUAAAUUAUAAUUAAUAUGGCUUAUUUCAUUCUUAUUUAUAAACUGCACCUUGACCUAAAUAAUAUUAAUUUAAAUUUAAUAAACAUAUAUCUAAAAAUCGCUAAAUAGAGGUAUACAAAUUGAAUUUACAAAAAUAAGUAAGA
rnacentral:rRNA from 1 species